GGAAAGCAUUUCCUCUAGUAAAAAGAAGGUCUACACCAGGAUUAUUCAACUAUAUUUUUCCAGGGGCCAAAUUUGUCAGAAUACUAUGAUCUGUGGGCCGGACAUUCUCGUAACCUGUACUAUUACUCUCAGAUGUACAA